UCGCUCUCGAAGUGGUUGUCGUAUGUCUUACACCCAUAUCACAGCCAGCUUUGAUGAGCGACA
rnacentral:pre_miRNA from 1 species